rnacentral:rRNA from 1 species
CGGCAGCACGGACUUCGGUCUGGUGGCGAGUGGCGAACGGGUGAGUAAUGUAUCGGAACGUGCCCAGUAGCGGGGGAUAACUACGCGAAAGCGUAGCUAAUACCGCAUACGCCCUACGGGGGAAAGCAGGGGAUCGCAAGACCUUGCACUAUUGGAGCGGCCGAUAUCGGAUUAGCUAGUUGGUGGGGUAACGGCUCACCAAGGCGACGAUCCGUAGCUGGUUUGAGAGGACGACCAGCCACACUGGGACUGAGACACAGCCCAGACUCCUACGGGAGGCAGCAGUGGGGAAUUUUGGACAAUGGGGGAAACCCUGAUCCAGCCAUCCCGCGUGUGCGAUGAAGGCCUUCGGGUUGUAAAGCACUUUUGGCAGGAAAGAAACGUCAUGGGCUAAUACCCCGUGAAACUGACGGUACCUGCAGAAUAAGCACCGGCUAUCUACGUGCCAGCAGCCGCGGUAAUACGUAGGGUGCAAGCGUUAAUCGGAAUUACUGGGCGUAAAGCGUGCGCAGGCGGUUCGGAAAGAAAGAUGUGAAAUCCCAGAGCUUAACUUUGGAACUGCAUUUUUAACUACCGAGCUAGAGUGUGUCAGAGGGAGGUGGAAUUCCGCGUGUAGCAGUGAAAUGCGUAGAUAUGCGGAGGAACACCGAUGGCGAAGGCAGCCUCCUGGGAUAACACUGACGCUCAUGCACGAAAGCGUGGGGAGCAAACAGGAUUAGAUACCCUGGUAGUCCACGCCCUAAACGAUGUCAACUAGCUGUUGGGGCCUU